rnacentral:rRNA from 1 species
CGGAUGGGGUGACGCAGGAAGGUAGCAGGGCCAGUGAGUGGAUUAACUGGUGUAAGCCUGUAGGGCGAACGAUAGGCAAAUCCGUCGUUCAUGAAGCCUGAGAGGUGAUGCGUAGCCGUUGUGGCGAAUUCUGUGAUCCUAUGCUGCCGAGAAAAGCCUCUAGCGAGUGGUCACAUGGCCCGUACCCCAAACCGACACAGGUGGUCAGGUAGAGAAUACUAAGGCGAUCGAGAGAACUGUGGUUAAGGAACUCGGCAAAAUGCCCCCGUAACUUCGGGAGAAGGGGGACCCAUUCUGGUGACGGCUCUUGCAGCCUGAGCUGGUGUGGGUCGCAGAGACCAGAGAGAAGCGACUGUUUACUAAAAACACAGGUCCGUGCGAAGUCGUAAGACGAUGUAUACGGACUGACGCCUGCCCGGUGCUGGAAGGUUAAGAGGACCGGUUAGCCAUUUCGGUGGCGAAGCUGAGAAUUUAAGCCCCAGUAAACGGCGGUGGUAACUAUAACCAUCCUAAGGUAGCGAAAUUCCUUGUCGGGUAAGUUCCGACCUGCACGAAUGGCGUAACGACUUCUCUGCUGUCUCAACCACAGACUCGGCGAAAUUGCAGUACGAGUAAAGAUGCUCGUUACGCGCGGCAGGACGAAAAGACCCCGGGACCUUCACUAUAGCUCGGUAUUGGUGUUCGGUUCGGUUUGUGUAGGAUAGGUGGGAGACUGUGAAGUGGGCACGCCAGUGUUCAUGGAGUCGUUGUUGAAACACCACUCUGAUCGUACUGGACAUCUAACCUCGGACCAUGAUCUGAUUCAGGGACAGUGCCUGGUGGGUAGUUUAACUGGGGCGGUUGCCUCCUAAAAUGUAACGGAGGCGCCCAAAGGUUCCCUCAGCCUGGUUGGCAAUCAGGUGUUGAGUGUAAGUGCACAAGGGAGCUUGACUGUGAGACGUACAUGUCGAGCAGGGACGAAAGUCGGGACUAGUGAUCCGGCACCGGCAAGUGGAAGCGGUGUCGCUCAACGGAUAAAAGGUACCCCGGGGAUAACAGGCUGAUCUUCCCCAAGAGUCCAUAUCGACGGGAUGGUUUGGCACCUCGAUGUCGGCUCGUCGCAUCCUGGGGCUGGAGUAGGUCCCAAGGGUUGGGCUGUUCGCCCAUUAAAGCGGCACGCGAGCUGGGUUUAGAACGUCGUGAGACAGUUCGGUCUCUAUCCGCCGCGCGCGUUAGAAACUUGAGGAAACCUGUCCCUAGUACGAGAGGACCGGGACGGACGAACCUCUGGUGUGCCAGUUGUUCCACCAGGAGCACUGCUGGUUAGCUACGUUCGGAAGGGAUAACCGCUGAAAGCAUCUAAGCGGGAAGCCUGUUCCAAGAUGAGGUUUCUCACCACCUUCGAGUGGGUAAGACCCCCUACAGACCAUAGGGUUGAUAGGCCAGAACUGUAAGCACAGCAAUGUGUUCAGGUGACUGGUACUAAUCGGUCGAGGACUUAUC